rnacentral:rRNA from 1 species
UACGUAGGGUGCGAGCGUUGUCCGGAAUUAUUGGGCGUAAAGAGCUCGUAGGCGGUGUGUCGCGUCGGUCGUGAAAACUUGGGGCUUAACCCUGAGCUUGCGGUCGAUACGGGCAUCACUAGAGUUCGGCAGGGGAGACUGGAAUUCCUGGUGUAGCGGUGAAAUGCGCAGAUAUCAGGAGGAACACCGGUGGCGAAGGCGGGUCUCUGGGCCGAUACUGACGCUGAGGAGCGAAAGCGUGGGGAGCGAACAGG